rnacentral:rRNA from 1 species
AUUUUAAAUAGAAAAGGAUUCGACGGGCGGGAUAACCCAACAUCUCAGACACGAGCUGACGACAACCAUGCACCACCUGUCACUUUGUCCCCCGAAGGGGAAGGCUCUAUCUCUAGAGUUGUCAAAGGAAGUCAAGAUUUGGUAAGGUUCUUCGCGGUGCUUCGAAUUAAAACGCAUGCUCCACCGCUUGUGCGGGUCCCCAUCAUUCCUUUGAGUUUCAACCUUGCGUCGAAAAAAUCCCCGGGGCGGAGUGGUUAAUGCGAUAGCUGCAAACUAAGGGGGGGAACCCCCCAACACUUAUCACUCACGUUUACGGCAUGGAAAACGGGGAAAAACGUGUGAAACACCCUCAACUUUCGAAUCAGAUAGUAAGGGGAACAAAAAUGCCUUCACACGGGUGUGAAACCAAUCCUUGCGAAUUUCAGGCUACCAUGGAAGUCCGCUUGCCUAUUCUGCACUCAAGGUUUCCAGUAAGAAAAGGACCUCCAGGGUUGAGCGGGGCUUUCCAACAAAAUUAAAAAAACGCCAAGCGGCUUUAACCCCAAAAUCCGGAAACGCUUGCAAAG